AGCUCGAGUUUCUCUUCAUUCACGUAUAAAUCUUUCACAUUUUACUAAAGAUUUCCAUGGAGGGGAGCAUUUGCUAGUUUUUGAUAUUUUGGGGGCUCUGCUCACAGCAGAGCU